GUGGAAAUUACUGCAUGCUAUAAGAUAAAUUCUUGAUCAAUUCCGGUAACGGUUAAGAGAAAAGAAGAUCCGUGACCUGAUCCCUGGCAGUAAAACAUAUUUUUACUGUGAUUUUCUCUGGUGGGUUUUUUUUAGAACCCCAUUCAACUUUGAAGACUGUCCAGCUGCACAUCAUCGCAGGCCUGGAUUGGAUUGCUGAGCUCCAGGUUUCAACCCAAGACCUGGGACUGCUGGAGCCGCUGCCUACUUUGCACUGGAUAAGAUAAGAUUUUGAAUCCAAAGAAACACAUGGCCAUUUAACAAAGACUUGACUGACUGACUUAAAUUACUGAACUAAAAAAAAAAAACUAAACUUCCAAAGGACGAACUGAACUAUAAGGAAUCUGUACCAAAAGAAAAUACACUGCCUGAUAUAAAAAAGGUGGACACUUUAUGUUGGGAAAAAGAACUGUACAGUAACAUUCUGUUUCAAGUUGUAUUAAAUAAUCUGUUCAUUCUUGAUAA